GACGAACGCUGGCGGCGUGCUUAACACAUGCAAGUCGAACGGAAAGGCCCUUCGGGGUACUCGAGUGGCGAACGGGUGAGUAACACGUGGGUGAUCUGCCCUGCACUUUGGGAUAAGCCUGGGAAAAUGGGUCUAAUACCGAAUAUGAUCAUCAGCUUCAUGGUUGGUGGAGGAAAGCUUUUGCGGUGUGGGAUGGGCCCGCGGCCUAUCAGCUUGUUGGUGGGGUAAUGGCCUACCAAGGCGACGACGGGUAGCCGGCCUGAGAGGGUGACCGGCCACACUGGGACUGAGAUACGGCCCAGACUCCUACGGGAGGCAGCAGUGGGGAAUAUUGCACAAUGGGCGCAAGCCUGAUGCAGCGACGCCGCGUGAGGGAUGACGGCCUCCGGGUUGUAAACCUCUUUCAGCACAGACGAAGCGCAAGUGACGGUAUGUGCAGAAGAAGGACCGGCCAACUACGUGCCAGCAGCCGCCGUAA
rnacentral:rRNA from 1 species